AGAAGCAAGGCUCAAGGAGUAGAGUAGCUGCCUAGCAAGCACAAAACCCUGGGUUCAAACCCCAGUAUUGCUU
rnacentral:tRNA from 1 species